UCUGGACCUGAACCUAUUGCUGAACUCGACCUGGAACGAACGGCUGAAGAUGAAACAGAUUCUGCUGACUCAGAGCCUCUUGGGGACAACUCCUCCUCUCAAUCAGGACCUGUCUCUCCUCACCCAGAAUCUGCAUCCUAUCCAGGACAAUCCAGCAUGUUAAGUGAUUCUUCUGCUGUAAAACUCUCCAGCCCAGAUCCUGAACCAUCUGCCAGACGCUCUACCAGAACACGUCACCCACCAACUCGUCUGCAGUAUUCAACACUUGGGCAUCCACUUCUGCAGAGCAUCCAAACCCUGUUUCAAGGACUCAGUACAGUCUUUACAUCUGCUCUGGAACUGGAUGAGACCUCUGUGACCUCUACAUCAUGUGACAGUGUGGUGUGUCACCAGCCGGUUGCAUGUACGAGGCCGCACAUGAGUUUAGGGGGGGAACCUGUAACCUGCAAUUAGUAAUGGACUUUUAUUUUUGCGGGCCCACUUCCUGUUUGCCCCAAACUCCGCUAGCUUAUUUAAAGCCACGCCUCCAGCGCGCAGUUUAAAGAUCCUCACCUGUUUCCACUGUGGCUGUGGCUUGUUGUUGGCGUCUUCUUCACGGAGUCAUCAAAAUCUUUAAGCCCACUGAUUUGAUUGCCUGAAUUAUUGGCGUUGUUACCUGGAUGUCACCGGGGUUCUGGCACAGCUGAUUGUGGCUGGGCGUGCCCACUCUCUUGAUAAGGUCGGGUUUUUUUUUUCCGGUUGGAUCAGAUCCUCAUCAGGAUUUGAAGAUGGCGAGCUAAGGAAAAGAACUCUGAACUUAAUGAUUUUGCAA